CCUACGGGGAGCAGCAGUGAGGAAUAUUGGUCAAUGGUCGGGAGACUGAACCAGCCAAGCCGCGUGAGGGAUGAAGGUACAGAGUAUCGUAAACCUCUUUUGUCAGGGAACAAAGGCGGGGACGCGUCCCCGGAUGAGUGUACCUGAAGAAAAAGCAUCGGCUAACUCCGUGCCAGCAGCCGCGGUAAUACGGAGGAUGCGAGCGUUAUCCGGAUUUAUUGGGUUUAAAGGGUGCGCAGGCGGUCUGUUAAGUCAGCGGUCAAAUCCCUGGGCUCAACCCCGGCCCGCCGUUGAAACUGGCAGUCUCGAGUUGGAGAGAAGUAUGCGGAAUGCGCGGUGUAGCGGUGAAAGGCAUAGAUAUCGCGCAGAACUCAGAUUGCGAAGGCAGCAUGCCGGCUCCACACUGACGCUGAGGCACGAAAGCGUGGGUAUCGAACAGGAUUAGAUACCCGGGUAGUC
rnacentral:rRNA from 1 species